GUCCACGCCGUAAACGAUGGAUACUAGCUGUUGGGAGCGAUCUCAGUGGCUAAGCGAAAGUGAUAAGUAUCCCACCUGGGGAGUACGUUCGCAAGAAUGAAACUCAAAGGAAUUGACGGGGGCCCGCACAAGCGGUGGAGCAUGUGGUUUAAUUCGAUGAUACGCGAGGAACCUUACCAAGGCUUAAAUGUAGUUUGACCGGUUUUGGAAACAGAUCUUUCGCAAGACAAAUUACAAGGUGCUGCAUGGUUGUCGU
rnacentral:rRNA from 1 species